UACGAAGGGUGCAAGCGUUAAUCGGAAUUACUGGGCGUAAAGCGCGCGUAGGUGGUUCAGUAAGUUGGGAGUGAAAUCCCCGGGCUCAACCUGGGAACUGCUUUCAAAACUGCUGAGCUAGAGUAUGGCAGAGGGUGGUGGAAUUUCCUGUGUAGCGGUGAAAUGCGUAGAUAUAGGAAGGAACACCAGUGGCGAAGGCGACCACCUGGGCUACUACUGACACUGAGGUGCGAAAGCGUGGGGAGCAAACAGG
rnacentral:rRNA from 1 species